rnacentral:rRNA from 1 species
CCUACGGGAGGCAGCAGUGAGGAAUAUUGGUCAAUGGGCGCGAGCCUGAACCAGCCAAGUCGCGUGAGGGAAGACGGUCCUAUGGAUUGUAAACCUCUUUUGUCGGGGAGCAAAAGACGCCACGCGUGGCGUUCCGAGAGUACCCGAAGAAACAGCAUCGGCUAACUCCGUGACAGCAGCCGCGGUAAUACGGAUGAUGCGAGCGGUCUACGGAUUUAUUGGGGUGAAAGGGUGCGCAGGCGGAAUGGCAAGUCAGCGGUAAAAUGGCGAGGAGCAACCUCUCCGAGCCGUUGAAACUGGUUUACGUGAGUGAGUGAGAAGGAUGCGGAAUGCGUGGUGUAGCGGUGAAAUGCGUAGAUAUCACGCAGAACUCCGAUGGCGAAGGCAGCAUACCGGCGCUCAACUGACGCUCAUGCACGAAAGUGUGGGUAUCGAACAGGAUUAGAUACCCUAGUAGUC